GUCUGUGGCCAUACCACCCUGAACACGCCCCAUCUCCUCUGAUCUCUGAAGCUAAGCAGGGUCCAGCCUGGUUAGUACUUGGAUGGGAGAAAUCAAAAUGUUUUGAGAGUUCAAUGAAAAUGAAGACA
rnacentral:rRNA from 1 species